GGAAUAUAAUAAUCUGUCUCUUAAUUUUUAACUAAAAAAACUAAGAACCGGUUCUUAAAUAAGAGUUUUAAGAACCGGUUCUUAAAUAAGAGUUUUAAAAACCGGUUCUUAACUUUUUUAGUUAAAAGUUAAGAGACGGGUUCUUAUAUUCC
rnacentral:pre_miRNA from 1 species